AUUUAUAUAGUUUAAACAAAAACAUUACACUUUCAUUGUAAAAUUAGAAUCAACCUUAUAAAUA
rnacentral:tRNA from 1 species